UACGGGGGGGCAAGCGUUGUUCGGAAUUACUGGGCGUAAAGGGCUCGUAGGCGGCCAACUAAGUCAGACGUGAAAUCCCUCGGCUUAACCGGGGAACUGCGUCUGAUACUGGAUGGCUUGAGGUUGGGAGAGGGAUGCGGAAUUCCAGGUGUAGCGGUGAAAUGCGUAGAUAUCUGGAGGACACCGGUGGUGUAAACGGCUUUCUGGACCAUAACUGACGCUGAGGCACGAAAGCGUGGGUAGCAAACAGG
rnacentral:rRNA from 1 species